rnacentral:rRNA from 1 species
UACGGGGGGGGCAAGCGUUGUUCGGAAUUACUGGGCGUAAAGGGCUCGUAGGCGGCCAACUAAGUCGGAUGUGAAAUCCCCAGGCUCAACUUGGGAACUGCAUCCGAUACUGGAUGGCUUGAAUCCGGGAGAGGGAUGGAGAAUUCCAGGUGUAGCGGUGAAAUGCGUAGAUAUCUGAAGGAACAUCAGUGGCGAAAGCGACUUCCUGGACCAAUACUGACGCUCAUGUGCGAAAGCGUGGGGGGCAAACAGG